rnacentral:rRNA from 1 species
GACGAACCGAGCGAACGUUGUUCGGAAUCACUGGGCUUAAAGGGCGCGUAGGCGGGCUGUCAAGUCUGGGGUGAAAUCCCGCGGCUCAACCGUGGAACUGCCUCAGAUACUGACGGCCUCGAGGGAGAUAGGGGCGAGCGGAACUAAUGGUGGAGCGGUGAAAUGCGUUGAUAUCAUUAGGAACUCCGGUGGCGAAGGCGGCUCGCUGGAUCUUUUCUGACGCUGAGGCGCGAAAGCUAGGGGAGCAAAC